rnacentral:rRNA from 1 species
CAUAAGCGGAGGAAAAGAAACCAACAGGGAUUCCCCUAGUAACGGCGAGUGAAGCGGGAACAGCUCAAAUUUGAAAUCUGGCCCUUGGGUCCGAGUUGUAAUUUGCAGAGGAUGCUUUUGGUGCGGUGCCUUCCGAGUUCCCUGGAACGGGACGCCUUAGAGGGUGAGAGCCCCGUACGGUUGGCCACCAAGCCUGUGUAAAGCUCCUUCGACGAGUCGAGUAGUUUGGGAAUGCUGCUCAAAAUGGGAGGUAUAUUUCUUCUAAAGCUAAAUACUGGCCAGAGACCGAUAGCGCACAAGUAGAGUGAUCGAAAGAUGAAAAGCACUUUGAAAAGAGGGUUAAAUAGCACGUGAAAUUGUUGAAAGGGAAGGAUUUAUGACCAGACUUUUUCUGGGGGGAUCAUCCGGUGUUCUCACCGGUGCACUUCCCCCAGUGGAGGCCAGCAUCGGUUUCUGUCGGGGGAUAAAAGCUUCAGGAAUGUGGCUCCUUCGGGAGUGUUAUAGCCCGUUGCAUAAUACCCUGACGGGGACCGAGGUUCGCGCAUUGCAAGGAUGCUGGCGUAAUGGUUAUUAAUCACCCGUCUUGAAACACGGACCAAGGAGUCGAACAUUUGUGCGAGUGUUUGGGUGUUAAACCCUCACGCGUAAUGAAAGUGAACGGAGGUGAGAGCCUUUCGGGGUGCAUCAUCGACCGAUCCUGAUGUCUUCGGAUGGAUUUGAGUAAGAGCAUAACUGUUCGGACCCGAAAGAUGGUGAACUAUGCGUGGAUAGGGUGAAGCCAGAGGAAACUCUGGUGGAGGCUCGCAGCGGUUCUGACGUGCAAAUCGAUCGUCAAAUCUGCGCAUGGGGGCGAAAGACUAAUCGAACCAUCUAGUAGCUGGUACG